rnacentral:rRNA from 1 species
AUUGAACGCUGGCGGCAGGCCUAACACAUGCAAGUCGAACGAGUCGCGCAGGGGUGUGUAAUGUCUGGGACACUGCCUGAUGGAGGGGGAUCACUACUGGACACGGUCGAUAAUCCCGCAUACCAUCAGAUGUGCCCAUGUGGGAUUGGGUUGUGGGUGGGGGAACGGCUCACCAGGGCGACGCCCCCUAGCUGGUCUGAGAGGAUGACCAGCCACACUGGAACUGAGACACGGUCCAGACUCCUACGGGAGGCAGCAGUGGGGAAGAUUGCACAAUGGGCGCAAGCCUGAUGCAGCCAUGCCGCGUGUAUGAAGAAGGCCUUCGGGUUGUAAAGUACUUUCAGCGAGGAGGCGUUACCCGCAGAAGAAGCACCGGCUAACUCCGUGCCAGCAGCCGCGGUAAUUC